rfam:Schistosoma curassoni strain Dakar, Senegal genome assembly, scaffold: SCTD_scaffold0002403
AUCCAACUGACAAGUCCCAAAUAGGACGAAACGCGUGUCUUGGAU